AUUGAACGCUGGCGGCAGGCCUAACACAUGCAAGUCGAGCGAGUGGCGGACGGGUGAGUAAUGUCUGGGAAACUGCCUGAUGGAGGGGGAUAACUACUGGAAACGGUAGAUAAUACCGCAUACCAUCGGAUGUGCCCAGAUGGGAUUAGCUAGUAGGUGGGGUAACGGCUCACCUAGGCGACGAUCCCUAGCUGGUCUGAGAGGAUGACCAGCCACACUGGAACGGAGACACGGUCCAGACUCCUACGGGAGGCAGCAGUGGGGAAUAUUGCACAAUGGGCGCAAGCCUGAUGCAGCCAUGCCGCGUGUGUGAAGAAGGCCUUCGGGUUGUAAAGCACUUUCAGCGGGGAGGCGUUACCCGCAGAAGAAGCACCGGCUAACUCCGUGCCAGCAGCCGCGGUAAUAC
rnacentral:rRNA from 1 species